AGUAGGAGAGGCUGCAUGCCACCAGGCGGCCAGCCAUCAUCUCCAAGACCACUAUGUGUCAUCUGAAGAGCUGCCUCCUGCACCGUGCCAACCUGCCGUCCUCCUUCCACCUGACUGACUCCGAGCCUGCAGCUACAGACCCACACCCAGAGACCCGCACUCUUAGACCCCUCGUUUUUCGAGACAGCACCUCCUGUCAAAUUGGAUCGGAUAAACAUUUAAAAAAACACAGGCCAUCAUUUAUGGCCUAUGUGAAAUGCAGGCAUUAUCCUGGCAGGAAGCUGAGGAGGUGUUCCUCCAUGGCCCUUCUUAUUACUCUAGUCAAGGAAUUUGACAGGGCAGUUUCCAAAAGACUGAAAAAGAAGGAAAAAUCACCUACAAGGAAGUAAUUAUUUUAUCUUAUAAGUUUACAUUAUUUUACAUUUAUUCAUUUAGCAGACGCUUUUAUCAAAAGUGGCUUAUAAAUGAGGAGUUUUUUUUAAUGCAAUUGAA